UACGGAGGAUCCAAGCGUUAUCCGGAAUCAUUGGGCUUAAAGGGUCCGUAGGCGGUUUGGUAAGUCAGUGGUGAAAGCCCAUCGCUCAACGGUGGAACUGCCAUUGAUACUGCCAGACUUGAAUUAUUAGGAAGUAACUAGAAUAUGUAGUGUAGCGGUGAAAUGCUUAGAGAUUACAUGGAAUACCAAUUGCGAAGGCAGGUUACUACUAAUGGAUUGACGCUGAUGGACGAAAGCGUGGGUAGCGAACAGG
rnacentral:rRNA from 1 species